GCUGUUGUCGGUAUCGAUGGGUAGCCGGCGUGAGAGCGUGGCCGGCCACAUUGGGACUGAGACACUGCCCAAAGACCUACGGGUCGCUGCAGUAGGGAAUAUUGCACAAUGAGCGAAAGCUUGAUGCAGCGACGCUGCGUGGGGGAAGAAGGCCUUCGGGUUGUAAACUCCUGUCAGGGGUCAUGAAAUCCGCGCGGGGAAACUCGUGUGGUUGACGCAAGCCCCAGAGGAAGCCAUGGCUAACUCCGUGCCAGCAGCCGCGGUAAUACGGAGAUGGCAAGCGUUGUUCGGAAUCACUGGGCGUAAAGCGCGCGUAGGCGGUCAGGCAAGUUGGGUGUGGAAUCGUUCGGCUCAACCGAACGGGGACGCCCAAAACUGCCCGACUGGAGCACGGUAGGGGAGAGUGGAACUCCUGGUGGAGCGGUGACAUGCGUAGAUAUCAGGAGGAACGCCGGCGGUGAAGACGACUCUCUGGGCCGUUGCUGACGCUGAGGUGCGAAAGCUAGGGUAGCGAACGGGAUUAGAUACCCCGGUAGUCCUAGCCGUAAACGAUGGGCACUUGGUAGUGGGGGUAACCUCACUGCCGGAGCUAACGCGUUAAGUGCCCCGCCUGGGUAGUACGGCCGCAAGGCUGAAACUCAAAGUAAUUGACGGGGCCUCGCACAAGCGGUGGAGCACGCGCCUUAAUUCGAGCAACGCGAGGAACCUCACCAGGGUUUGACAUGCAAGUGGUACGAACCUGAAAGGGGGAGGACCCAGGUUUACCUGGGAGCUUGCACAGGUGUUGCAUGGCUGUCGUCAGCUCGUGUCGUGAGAUGUUGGGUUAAGUCCCAUAACGAGCGAAACCCUUGUCCCUAGUUGCUACCGGGUAAUGCCGAGGACUCUAGGGAGACUGCCGGCGUCAAACCGGAGGAAGGUGGGGAUGACGUCAAGUCAUCAUGACCCUUAUGCCCUGGGCUGGACGCAUGCUACAAUGGCCGGUACAAAGGGAAGCGAAGCCGCAAGGUGGAGCGAAGCUCUAAAAGCCGGUCCCAGUUGGGAUCGGGGGCUGCAAUUCGCCCCCGUGAACGCGGAAUCGCUAGUAAUCGCGGAUCAGCCACGCCGCGGUGAAUACGUGCCCGAGGCUUGUACACACCGCCCGUCAAGUCAUGGAAGCUGGGAGCACGCUAAGUCGUGGACCCAACCCGUUUAGGCGGGAGGGUCGCGCCCGCCGUGAGCUCGGCAACUGGGACUAAGUCGGAACAAGGU
rnacentral:rRNA from 1 species